rnacentral:rRNA from 1 species
UGCUUGGCGACCAUAGCGUUUUGGACCCACCUGAACCCAUUCCGAACUCAGAAGUGAAACGAAAUAGCGUCGAUGGUAGUGUGGGGUUUCCCCAUGUGAGAGUAGAACAUCGCCAGGCUU